GAUGAACGCUGGCGGCGUGCCUAAUACAUGCAAGUCGAGCGAACAGACGAGGAGCUUGCUCCUCUGACGUUAGCGGCGGACGGGUGAGUAACACGUGGAUAACCUACCUAUAAGACUGGAAUAACUUCGGGAAACCGGAGCUAAUACCGGAUAAUAUAUUGAACCGCAUGGUUCAAUAGUGAAAGACGGUUUUGCUGUCACUUAUAGAUGGAUCCGCGCCGCAUUAGCUAGUUGGUAAGGUAACGGCUUACCAAGGCAACGAUGCGUAGCCGACCUGAUAGGGUGAUCGGCCACACUGGAACUGAGACACGGUCCAGACUCCUACGGGAGGCAGCAGUAGGGAAUCUUCCGCAAUGGGCGAAAGCCUGACGGAGCAACGCCGCGUGAGUGAUGAAGGUCUUCGGAUCGUAAAACUCUGUUAUUAGGGAAGAACAAAUGUGUAAGUAACUAUGCACGUCUUGACGGUACCUAAUCAGAAAGCCACGGCUAACUACGUG
rnacentral:rRNA from 1 species